AAUAGUGUGCCUGAAAAUUAAGGAUUAUUCUGAUGGAGUAAAUAAUGCAAUAAUAAUUUAUGCCACUAUUA
rnacentral:tRNA from 1 species